CACGUGUCUGCUUGAUUUUAACCUUUAUUUAGGACUGAUCCUUGUAAUGAAGAUUGUUAGGAAGUGAAGUCAGAAUUUGAAUUAAUUAAUUGGAGAAGCCAGACUUCUUGUACAGAAGUGCUAAAACCUAACAUUGGAUUUACUACCACAACGCCACCAAUUCUCAGUCUUGUACCUUUGUGCUGGUAGGCAACAGAGGGGUUAACGUGGAAACUCCUGUUACACCUAAAGGCAGAAGAACUACAUUACAGAAUCAUUAAGACUGGAAAAGACCUCCAAGAUCAUUGAGUCCAACCUUUAAUAGAAGAGUGAUGCUUCUGUACAAGGU